ACCAGGAUGGCCAAGUGGUUAAGGCGUUGGCCUCAAGUUCCAAUGGACAGGUGCCCUCGUGGGUUCAAGUCCCACUCCUGGUA